rnacentral:rRNA from 2 species
CUAUACUGCAAGUCGAGCGGAAGAAGGGAGCUUGCUCCCGGAUGUUAGCGGCGGACGGGUGAGUAACACGUGGGUAACCUGCCUGUAAGACUGUGGAUAACUCCNGCGAAACCGGUAGCUAAUACCGGAUAGUUCCUUGAACCGCAUGGUUCAAGGAUGAAAGACGGUCUUCGAGCUGUCACUUACAGAUGGACCCGCGGCGCAGUAUCUAGUUGGUGGGGUAAUGGCUCACCAAGGCGACGAUGCGUAGCCGACCUGAGAGGGUGAUCGGCCACACUGGGACUGAGACACGGCCCAGACUCCUACGGGAGGCAGCAGUAGGGAAUCUUCCGCAAUGGACGAAAGUCUGACAGAGCAACGCCGCGUGAGUGAUGAAGGUUUUCGGAUCGUAAAGCUCUGUUGUUAGGGAAGAACAAGUGCGAGAGUAACUGCUCGCACCUUUACGGUACCUAACCAGAAAGCCACGGCUAACUACGUGCCGCAGCCGCGGAAUACGUAGGUGGCAAGCGUUGUCCGGAAUUAUUGGGCGUAAGGGCUCGCAGGCGGUUUCUUAGUCUGAUGUGAAGCCCCCGGCUCACCGGGGAGGUCCUUGGAA